rnacentral:rRNA from 2 species
UACGUAGGGGGCAAGCGUUAUCCGGAAUUACUGGGUGUAAAGGGAGCGUAGGCGGCAUGGUAAGUAAGAUGUGAAAGCCUUGGGCUUAACCCGAGGAUUGCAUUUUAAACUAUCAAGCUAGAGUACAGGAGAGGAAAGCGGAAUUCCUAGUGUAGCGGUGAAAUGCGUAGAUAUUAGGAAGAACACCGGUGGCGAAGGCGGCUUUCUGGACUGAAACUGACGCUGAGGCUCGAAAGCGUGGGGAGCGAACAGG